rnacentral:rRNA from 1 species
UCGGGAAUUUUGGGCAAUGGGGGAAACCCUGACCCAGCAACGCCGCGUGAAGGAUGAAGUAUUUCGGUAUGUAAACUUCGAAAGAAUGGGAAGAAUAAAUGACGGUACUAUUUAUAAGGUCCGGCUAACUACGUGCCAGCAGCCGCGGUAAUACGUAGGGACCAAGCGUUGUUCGGAUUUACUGGGCGUAAAGGGCGCGUAGGCGGCAUGACAAGUCACUUGUGAAAUCUCUGGGCUUAACCCAGAACGGCCAAGUGAUACUGUCGCGCUAGAGUGCAGAAGGGGCAAUCGGAAUUCUUGGUGUAGCGGUGAAAUGCGUAGAUAUCAAGAGGAACACCUGAGGUGAAGACGGGUUGCUGGGCUGACACUGACGCUGAGGCGCGAAAGCCAGGGGAGCAAACGGGAUUAGAUACCCCCGUAGUCCCUGAGCGGGCUGGCAAGGCGCAU